CGCCCCCACCCCGGCGCCCCGCGGGUGUGCGGCUCGGGCUUCCCUUUCUUCGCCUCGUCGCGCCUCGGGCGCGACCCCCGAGGCGGUGCUGGCCGCCACUCACCAUAUUACAGAUGGAGGCGAUGUUUCGGACAGUCAUUAGUCUAAAGGUUGCAGCGAUCCCGCACCGCCAUCUUUAUAAGGUUCUGAUCUGAACUCUAUAGAACCAACAGCCUUCAUUGGGUGUGGGGAAGGCAGAGUUUGGAAGGAGCAGACCGCUGCCAUGUUACAAGGACAUCGGGAUGGCAAAACUAUGGCAACGCCGGGCCAUUUUUCACAGAAGCAGAAUGGACUUCCUCCACAUGUGCCACAAUCUGUACACUCAGCUGCUUCUGCCUUUGCACGAGAGCCAGCCAGGGCAUGCUCCGAUACUCCGCGCCUUCAGAGUGAGCCUCAGUUUUGAUAACAGCAAUUCCAGAAGGUAAGAGAAUGGCAGAAUAGCAAGCACUAAGAACAUCAUUUACUGGCUGCCCAUUUUUGACCGGAGUCCCGGAGGACGCAAGAAAAAUCCCUUUGUCUCCAGAACGUUCUAAAAUCACGGAUGACUCCAAAGGCACACCAGCUCUCCAUAUCAAUAUUAACAGUUUGUCCUUCGGAUAACUGGCGAGCUCAGGUGAGGUGUGGAGCUCUGUGGAUCUGGCUUGUGACAGGUUUCUGCUUUCUGGUUGGUCGUACUGAGGAAUAACAGCACGACCUGCCUGAAAAUUUCCUUUUUUGCCUCUACGGGAUGACCCAUCAAUUAAGCGAGAUUAGAUCAGGAUUAAAGGGGCAUCUCGUAAGUCAGGACGAGGCGUCACAAAACGGGAGCUAAGACCUCAGUCCGGGGGCUCACCUUCAUCGGAUAGCCAAAUUAAGGGUGUCGCAACGUAGAAGAUGUAGUUUAGGUGGUCAAAGCAGAAGGACCUCAGGAAGUCAGUCGACUUGCAGAGAAACGUUGAGUCAGUGCAGAGCGAGGAAGACUUUGGACAAAGUGUGAAGUUUCCAAGUAGAUGUCGUUCCCCUGGGUCAGGCCCACGCAGGCUUCCACUCCCCUAGCAGCUGUGGCUCUAGCUUCACAUCAGCUGGGACAGGGGCGAGCAACUGAGCCACACUGUAUGCUGUCAUAGGCGGCAGGCCUACGUUACCACUAUAUCCGUGCGUGAGCAUUCCCAGGACUUCAUUAUCCCCUCCUUGUACAAAUAAGGUGAAGUGUUUUGAAUAGUUACGUGACCCUGAGGCAGGCGGUUCCUACAGAGCUUGUUUUAGUCUUAUAAAAAUCUCCUCACAUUUGUCUUUCCAAGCAAAGGGUUCAGGGACUGAAAUUUUAGGGAGUUCACGGAGUUGGAGAAGUUAAAAGAGGAUAAUUAGGAACCCAUAGUCUACAAUAAAUCCACAAAGCUGUCACUUAACUUGUAAGUCUAAAAGAUUCCCGAAUUGGCCUAGUUCUUUUUGGAGACAGCUGAAUUCCUUCAGAGCUUAGAUCAUGACCUAGGUACUGAACAAUGUCUAGAGAUCGUUGUAAUUUUUCCUUAGAGACUUGCUGUCCCUUUUCAGCUAACUGUUGCAGCAAAUAGAUAGAGGAUCCCUCUUUGGUAACCACGCACAGCAAAAAGUUUGUCUACAUACCAUAAAAGGCUCGGUUUCCCGGGGAACUGGAGGGUACUUAGAGCUCAGUGAAGCUAGUUGAGAGAAAUAAGGGGCCUGGGUGAGCCUUUCAGGCAUAACUACCCGGAUCCAGUGUUGAUAGUUUCAAGUAAAGGCAAAUAGAUAACUGGCUGAUGAUGUCUCCAGAGAUGCCCCAAAAGCAGCAAUGAACAGAGUCACGUGGAACUUGGGACAUGAGGGUGUUCGGGUUUGGAACAACUGGGAAACCAGGAAUGACCAUCAUAUUCAUAGCUCUCAAAUCCUGAACGAAUUGCCCUCUCUGUCCGUUGGGGGUUUCAGAACAGACGAGAUCUAUAGUAACUGGUACAGGGAAUGAUUAGCCCCUGGGCAGUUAGGCCUUCUAUUAGGUGGGGUGAGGCCUUGGAUGGCCUCACGCUUGAAGGGACAUUGAGACAACAUAGGGACAGUUUUAUUUAUAUCUGUCUGAAUCAUUAUGGGUUCUGUACUUCUUAUUCUUCCAGUGUCAGUAUCAGAAGUAGUCCACAGAUUUUCAGGCUCCUCCAUUAAAUUCGGGGACUUUUGUUGGAAUUCUUCCUUUCCUGUGUCAAGGACAGACUAUAAGGAGCAUAAAAGAUCAGGUUCUGGUGGGUCAGGAAAUUCUAAGACAAAGUCUCCAUUGGAGGCAAAAUAUAUUAGCCCUUUUAGUUUAGAAAGGAGAGCCCUACCUAAUAGAUUAUCUGGAACUGACUGGCACGGUAAAAAGGAAUGUUUGUCAAUAAAAGGUCCCAGAAUCAUUUGUACUGGUUGAGAUAAAAAUUCUCUCUGAACUUUAUUAGACACCCUCUCCUCCAACUGUGGAAACCUCCUCUUUGCUUUGAGGGUAGGGUUUAAGGUAUAACGUGUAACUCCGGUAUCUAUUAAAAUUUGGCGAGGUUUCCUAUUAAUUUUAACAUUAGUUUUCCCUUGGCUAUUUAAGGGAAUUUCUGGUAAUAGUUUAGCAGAGAACCCCUCUGAGUCCCUUCAACUCUGUGAGGGGCCCCCCUUUGAAGGUAAGUAUGAGGGCAUUUGAGAAGAAUUUGCAUGGGACCUUUGAGGACAAUCUCUUUUCCAGUGCCCCAGUUGAUUACAGCUGAGACAUCAAUCUUUGGACCAGAGUUUUGAUAAUGGACCCCUAGGAAGGUGCAGUGCUAGACGCCCAGGUGUUGUUUGGGUCUCUGGCCUUAGAGCUGUAAAGCUAAUAGCUUGGCGGAUUUCUGUUUAUGAUCUUGCUCCAGGGUGCUUUCAAAAUACUCAGCUAUAGUCAUGAGUUCAGGUAGAGUAGUGGCUUCCCAUCCUAUUUUCUGCCUCUUUAUUGAUCCACUAAUCUCAAGAGAUAAUCCAUGUACAAAGAGGGCAGCCAAAACAGGUUGGGUGACCCUAUUUAUUGCAUGGAACCCCAAAUGCCAUAGAGAAAGAGCUACAAACAGCCUUCAAAGUCUGCCAGAGAUUCAUUGGGUUUUUUUUUUGUUUGUUUGUUUGCAAGUUUGUAUAAUAGACCAAUGAGGACGGGCAGGAAAGACUCUAGGAGUGGCUUGUAAAAGUUCAGCUGCUAUUUUGUGAGCUUUUGCUGGGCUCUGAGACACUGUAGACCAAAGAUCUCAAAUAUCAUCUUUGGCGUCUUGCCAUCUUGCUUCCUGCAUCCAUAUUUGGCCUUUACCAGGUCCUACCAACAUGUAUAUGAGCUGUAUACACCUGGGGUCAUAGACCCUGAUAAUGACUCUAAAUUCUUCAAACAACUUUUGGGGCUCCUCCCCAGGUUAAGGACAUUCUUUAACUAUGGCCGUUGGUUCAGUCUUUGGCCAAGGGGUGAAAGGUACCUGAGGAGGUUCACCUACAACUGCAAAGUUUUAUUUUAAAAGGUAACUGUCAGAUAAUCUCUUCAGAAUGGAAGGGUAGAUCAGACAAUUAGUGAAAUGUGGGUUCUCAGGGAAAAAAGGAUGAGGGGGGUCACAUCAGUCUUUUUAUCUUUUUGUUUAAGGUGCCUCUUGUGUCUUCAAUUUUUUAUUAGCCCUUGUAAAAAGUCUUUUAAUGAAGCUACUUUGGAAUCUUAAAGCCUUUUGAAAGCUUCUGCUCACCAAUUAAAUUAGGCAUCCCAUUCUGUUUGUUCAACUUGGGAUCCCUUGCUCUCAAGUGUGUUUCUUAAGUGAGCUAUCUUGUCUCAUUGGGAUGUUCCCUGUAGUGGCCAUUGUAACUCUAGGUUAUCGUUAAUAAAGUUUUGCCAUUUUGCUACAUAUGUGCAGCUUCUAGGAUUAUAGCUCUUAAACAUAAAAUCAGCAGGUGUGCCAUAAGCUGGUGCCCUCAACUCUUUGGAUAUAAAGGAUCCCAUUUCUUUCUUUUAUUUUCUUUCAAGUUUAUUUAUUUGGGGGGGGGGGGCGU